UACGAAAGGGGCUAGCGUUGGUCGGAAUUACUGGGCGUAAAGCGCGCGUAGGCGGCCUAGCAAGUUGGGGGUGAAAGCCCAGGGCUCAACCCUGGAAUUGCCUCCAAAACUGCUAAGCUCGAGGCCGAGAGAGGAGUGUGGAAUUCCUAGUGUAGAGGUGAAAUUCGUAGAUAUUAGGAAGAACACCGGUGGCGAAGGCGACACUCUGGCUCGGUACUGACGCUGAGGCGCGAAUGCGUGGCGAGCAAACAGG
rnacentral:rRNA from 1 species